rnacentral:rRNA from 1 species
UACGGGGGAGGCAAGCGUUGUUCGGAUUUACUGGGCGUAAAGGGCGCGUAGGCGGCCAGUGCAAGUCAGUUGUGAAAUCUCCGAGCUUAACUCGGAAAGGUCAACUGAUACUGCUCGGCUAGAGUGCGGAAGGGGCAACUGGAAUUCUUGGUGUAGCGGUGAAAUGCGUAGAUAUCAAGAGGAACACCUGCGGCGAAGGCGGGUUGCUGGGCCGACACUGACGCUGAGGCGCGAAAGCGUGGGGAGCGAACAGG